AACGAACGCUGGCGGCAUGCCUAACACAUGCAAGUCGAACGAGGACUUCGCUUCCAGUGUCGCACGGGUGCGUAACGCGUGAGAACCUGACCUAAGCGUGAGAAUAACGCCCCGAACUGCUUGAUAACCGCGUAUAAUGUCUGCUAACCAAAGAUUUAUCGGCUCUGUAUGAUCCGGCGUUGGGGUAGCUAAUUGUUACGGUAGAAGGCGGCCACGGGGACGAUCAAUAUCUGGGCUGAGUGGAUGAUCAGCCACACUGGGACUGAGACGCGGCCCAGACUCCUACGGGAGGCAGCAGUGGGGAAUAUUGCAGCAUCGGCGCGAGCGUGAUGGAGCACUGCGGGGUGAGUACUGCAGUCCUUAGGGUUGUAAAGCUCUUUUAUCUGUGAUGAUAUUGACGGUACCGGGAGAAUAAGCUCCGGCUAACUCCGUG
rnacentral:rRNA from 1 species